UUAAUACCACAAACAGGUAAGAAGAAGAAACUGAAUUAUAAUUUUGACUCUAUAUUGGAUUAAAGGAUUCCCUGGUGGCUCAGACAGUAAAGCAUCUGCUCACAAUGCGGAAGACCCGGGUUCUAUCCCUGGGUUGGGAAGAGCCCCUGGAGAAGGAAAUGGCCACCAACUCCAGUACUCUUGCCUAGAAAAUUCUAUGGAUGGAGGAGCCUGGUGGGCUACAGUCCAUGGGGUUGCAAAGAGUUGGACACGACUGAGUGACUUCACUUCACUUCACAUAUUGGAUUAAAGAUGACUAUGGUGGAAUAGAUAGUGUGGGCUUAUUAAAGUCACAUCUUAAUUUCUUCCUUUAGGCAAGUGUUUAUGUUCUGUGUGGAUACUCAACUGAACUGUUGUGGGAGGCUGUCUUUUGCUUUUCCCUCUCCUGAUGUUGCACCUGGACACAAAGCUUGAGGCAAAGACCUGUGUUUGCACUCUAUUGCCACCUAAUGCUCCUGAUAUUUAGCCCGAGGCACCCCUGGGAGACAAUUUGGAGCUCCCCCAGAGGAAAAGUCUCUCUGCAAAGCUUUGCAUCUCACAAUGACCUCAUCAGGAAGGACACAGGAGAGUUUAUAAUUACUAUGAUAGAGCCUAUAGAAGAUGAAGACGGGAGCAACCAUUUAUAAAAACUGAAGCAUGUUAUGGAACAAUUUAAGGAUGUAGUAAUGAAAAAAAAUAUGAUGAUGGCAGAACUACAUCGUGACCAUUCUCUUCUCUCUUUCUCUCUGUGUUUAAUGACCUAUUGAAUCUGAAGAUGACAUCUUAAGGUUUAAGGCUUAAUAGGCCAUCAUCUAUUUGCUUCCUUUGUGUUCAACUAUCUUAUCAGAAAGUGAAUAUUUAUCCCAAGAAACAAAAGGAUAAAAAUUUUCUAAACAGAAAGUGUUGUAUUGGUGGCCAAUGACUUAUGAACUGUUGCAUUGUUUUUGUUUGCCUUAAAACAAAAUAUACACAGUUAAUUGCAUUAUAAAGUAAAGAUGCAAGUAUCUGUCUUAUGCUUUUAUAUGUGGAAAUGUAAAUGAUAUUGAAUAACUGGAAAAGGUAGCUAAUUUAUGAAAACAUUGUGUUAUGACAUGUAUCAGUCAGUGAAAAUUUCAAGUUGUUGACUUUGAUUUUAAAAAUGUAAAUUUACUGUUUUUGAAGCAUGUCAUAUGGUAUAAAUGAAAACAAACCUAAAUCCUAAUAAGAUAAGAAAAUUUGUGCAAUAGUUACUAACAGUUGGGUUAUAUAUUCUGCACUCAAAUUCUGAAUUACAUCAAUUUGAAUUUUGUUUCUGCUACCUACUCAUUGUGUGAAUUUGGUCAGAUUUCUUGUCCUCUUUGUGUAUUAAUUUCCUCAUCUGUAAAACAGGGCUUACAAUAAUAUCUAUCAUCUAGGUUUAUGCCGUGUUAUGUAGAAAAUGUGUAUAAAGCACUUUGGAAUGUCUGGUGCAUAAAAAAUUCUGUGAACAAUCCAAGUUUAAGCCUGGAAAAUUCAUUCCAGCUUCUUAAAAUUUACACAGUAAACAAAUGCACUUUAAGCAUUAAUGAAAAGGAUUGAAUAAAAAUAUCAAAACAUCCUGUGUUUUCCAGUAAUGUAUACCUGAAAAAAUGUCCUUUGUAUUUGUCCAUGUGUUCCACUUUAAGGAAUCUAUGAAAAUGAAGUUGAGAAUCACUUUUAUCCUAAAUAAUCUAAUUCAAAUGUCAGUACAGGAUUGUUUUAGCAGAAAUAGAAAAUAAAUUAAAUAAUGGAGAGGAAGAGAAAAUGAAUACAUGACUGAUGGAAAUAUGACUUUUACAUAUACAGCUUAAAGAUAUAUUCACAAAAAUUUUAUCAGUUGUAUCUUUUAAAAGAAGAAAGUUAUUAAACAAGUUCUAUUUAUUCUCUUAAU